UCUCCUGGAAAACGGGUGGUAAUGCCGGAUGCUCCGACUCCUCGCAUGGGGUGUCGGGAAAGAUUUCAUCGGUAUGGGAUGGGGUCGCGUCCUAUCAGGUAGUCGGCGGGGUAACGGCCCACCGAGCCUACGACGGGUAGCCGGCCUGAGAGGGCGACCGGCCACAUUGGGACUGAGAUACGGCCCAGACUCCUACGGGAGGCAGCAGUGGGGAAUAUUGCACAAUGGGCGCAAGCCUGAUGCAGCGACGCCGCGUGCGGGAUGACGGCCUUCGGGUUGUAAACCGCUUUUGAUCGGGAGCAAGCCUUCGGGUGAGUGUACCUUUCGAAUAAGCACCGGCUAACUACGUGCCAGCAGCCGCGGUAAUACGUAGGGUGCAAGCGUUAUCCGGAAUUAUUGGGCGUAAAGGGCUCGUAGGCGGUUCGUCGCGUCCGGUGUGAAAGUCCAUCGCUUAACGGUGGAUCUGCGCCGGGUACGGGCGGGCUGGAGUGCGGUAGGGGAGACUGGAAUUCCCGGUGUAACGGUGGAAUGUGUAGAUAUCGGGAAAGAACACCA
rnacentral:rRNA from 1 species